CUAUUCUAACCACUAAAUUUCGGGCCAUCAACCGUUGCAGGUUCUAGUAGUCAGGUUAUUGCACGCCUCUCUCCAUUCCUCUCUUUUCCUCUCCAUCGUCUUCUUUGUGUAGGUAGGUAGGCCCAUGGAAGAGGAAUACUCAGUUAGCGAUCCUACUCUGCUACUCAUCUCAGCUUCCAAUUUCGCAUUUCAUCCCGGUUUUCAAUCUGACUCUUCUACAAAGGAAUUCCUUGAUCGCUUCCCCCUUCCAGUCAUCAUCAAUGCUUUACAAACGAAAGGGGAUGUGCCUGGUCUUGAGAAUGCUUUGGUUGCUUGUCUGGAGAGGAUAUUUAAGACAAAAUAUGGGGCCUCCCUCAUUCCACAGUACAUGGCUAAAGCAAACCAAACCAAAUCAAGCCUUAAGUCCUAUCAAACGAGGUUGGCUACAUGCAGUGGCGGAGCUACAUGGAGGGCAGGGGGGUCACAUGCCCCUCCCCCUGGUUUUGGAUUUACAAUUUUUUUUAGUUUUUUUCUUAGUAGUAGGAAUCGUCUCAGAUGGCGACGACUCCGAGGAAAAAGUGCGAUUUUGCGCUUCUGAGGAAGGAUCGCAUCAGAAUUCAGAAUCGCGAAUCUGAUGCGAGAAGGAAGCAUAUCUCAGUUGGAGCUAAGAUAUUGUGUUUGGUUAAACAUAUAGUUUUGCAAAGAAAGGGAUAAUGGUUUUUGCUCUGCAUGAGGAGCCUGAUCUCACAGAGCUAGUUGGGGAUUUCAAAGUUCAUAUUCAGAUCACCAAGGAGACUUUCAAUGGUAUACCAGCUAGACUCUUUUCAAUCCAUAACCGACAACACCACCACCAAAAUUAGCUCCACAUUCAGUUUGUUCUUCAUUUUUUUGAACCAAUAAGCUUUCCACUUCGCUCAUGAUGGGACCUGAGCUUUGUUCCUAAUUUACAAGCAUUGGAGAGCUUUGUUCCUAAAUAUCCAAUGUACUGAUUGGUGAAUUUUAGAUUUUAUUUUAUUAUUUUAUUUUUUUUUAGGAUUUGGGUGA